UAGGGAAUAUUGGGGCAAUGGGGCGCAAGCCUGACCCAGCAACGCCGCGUGAAGGAAGACGGUCUUCGGAUUGUAAACUUUUGUUCUUGGUGAAGAAAAUGACGGUAGCCAAGGAGGAAGCCACGGCUAACUACGUGCCAGCAGCCGCGGUAAUACGUAGGUGGCAAGCGUUGUCCGGAAUUACUGGGUGUAAAGGGAGCGCAGGCGGGAAAUCAAGUUGGAUGUGAAAUGUCGGGGCUUAACCCCGGAACUGCAUCCAAAACUGAUAUUCUUGAGUGAAGUAGAGGUAGGCGGAAUUCCGAGUGUAGCGGUGAAAUGCGUAGAUAUUCGGAGGAACACCAGUGGCGAAGGCGGCCUACUGGGCUUUAACUGACGCUGAGGCUCGAAAGUGUGGGGAGUAAACAGGAUUAGAUACCCUGGUAGU
rnacentral:rRNA from 1 species